GGUUAUCUCCUAACCUCAGAUGUUGGAUAAGUCCACGGAAACAGCAGCGCUUCUGGAUGGCUUCAGAAAGGCUGGAGUGAUUGUUUGGAAGAGAAAAACCCGCCUAUUCAUUCAAAGGUACAUGAAUGUUGUCGAGACUGUCCCAUCUGAAGGUUCAUCCUUAGAAUCCUGCCUUAGACAAAGGAAGCGCUUGGAGCCCCACCACACCCAAAACCACGCUUUGAAGGAUCUGCCAAGCUCACUUUUAAUCAUGAGAAAGAAAUUACCCACAUGGAGACAGCAGAAAAUGAGAAAGUAGAGAUCGUGCUGCGAAUAAUUCCAGCGAGUGCCAAGGGGCUAGUUGAGGAAUGGCUUCAUGAGGUGAAUAUCUUUAGCUUGUACUUAGGGUUUGGUUAGCGUAUAAUCAU
rnacentral:lncRNA from 1 species